rfam:Ovis aries breed Texel chromosome 1, whole genome shotgun sequence.
UCCUGGUGGCUCAGAUGGUAAAGGAUCUGCAUGUAAUGCAGGAGGCCUGGGUUCGAUCCCCGGGUCAGGAA